GUAACAAGGUUUCCGUAGGGAACCUGGGGAAAGGAUCAUUAAGGAAUAAUUAGGGUGUUCUUGGUUGUAGCGGGCUCCUG
rnacentral:rRNA from 1 species